rnacentral:rRNA from 1 species
ACGCAAUAGAUACCCCGGUAGUCCACGCCCUAAACGAUGUCUACUAGUUGUCGGGUCUUAAUUGACUUGGUAAACGCAGCUAAACGCGUGAAGUAGACCGCCUGGGGAGUACGGUCGCAAGAUUAAAACUCAAAGGAAUUGACGGGGACCCGCACAAGCGGUGGAUGAUGUGGAUUAAUUCGAUGCAACGCGAAAAACCUUACCUACCCUUGACAUGGAUGGAAUCCCUGAGAAAUUGGGGAGUGCCCGAAAGGGAACCAUUACACAGGUGCUGCAUGGCUGUCGUCAGCUCGUGUCGUGAGAUGUUGGGUUAAGUCCCGCAACGAGCGCAACCCUUGUCAUUAGUUGCUACGAAAGGGCACUCUAAUGAGACUGCCGGUGACAAACCGGAGGAAGGUGGGGAUGACGUCAAGUCCUCAUGGCCCUUAUGGGUAGGGCUUCACACGUCAUACAAUGGUACAUACAGAGGGCCGCCAACCCGCGAGGGGGAGCUAAUCCCAGAAAGUGUAUCGCAGUCCGGAUUGUAGUCUGCAACUCG